CCUUUGCACGUGAGGAAACUGAGGCACGGAAGAGCCUCGCUAGGGAAAGGCUUUGGAGCUGGAUCUGCCUGCCCACUCUUGGCCCAGCCAUCUGCUGCUGGCCUCAGAGCUUGGACCGAGCCCUGCAGCCCUCAUUGCUACAAGUCCUCACAGGCAGAAGGAAUCCUGAUCAAGGAACUGCCUGACCCCUGAGGCCAGCGACCCUCAGUUCAAACCACCCAC
rnacentral:lncRNA from 1 species